rnacentral:lncRNA from 1 species
GUUUCCCCAAGGAUAUGCAUACCAGAAUUGUAGACUACAUUAUUUUCUUUGCUUUUCUCAUGUGGGUGCCUUUCCCCCAUGAGAUCACAGUCCCCAGAGGAAUAGCUCCUGACAAUAAAGAAACUGAAGAUAAGACAACAUUUCUCCUGAAAUAGAAGAGAUGGAGUUGUAUUAGAAACGGUAGUGUUUAUUGCAUAAUAAUAAUUGGAAUUACAACUUAUUGAGUGCUCAUAGAUGAUAAUUGUCAUGCUAGAGCAUAACGUUAAUUCUUAUUUAAUCCUCACAGCUACUCUGAGGUAAGUACUCAUGUCAUUUCCAUCUUACAGAUGAAGAAACAGGCUCAAAGAGGUGAAAAUAGUCUGGGCACAGUGGCUUACACCUGUAAACACAGCACGUUGGGAGGCUGAGGCAGGAGGAUCACUUGAGCUCAAGAGUUUGAGACUAAUCUGGGCAACGUGGCAAGACCUUGUCUCUACAAAAAAAUUUAAAAAUAAGCCAGGUGUGGUAGUAUGCACCUGUGGUCUCAGCUACUCAGGAAGCUGAGGUGGGAGGAUCACUUGAGCCCAAGAGGUCAAGGUUGCAGUGAACUAUGAUCGUGCCACCACACUCCAGCCUGGGUGACAAAAAGGAAAGAAAAAAGAAAAAAAAAAGAGGUGAAAUAACUUGUCCGAGUUCAAAUCAUGAAUACAUUAGCCAGAUUUUGAACUGAGGACUGACUCUAGAAUGGAAGUUCUUCAUUGCUGUGUAAUGUAGGGUGAACAUGCAGGCUUUGAGUUCCAGUACCUGUGGUCAUUAAGAGUGAGCUGAUUUUUUUCAAUCUUCCUUUAGUUAUAACUGCCAUCACCAAGUCUAGUUUCUCUUUAUCUUCUUGAUUCUUACUAGCGACCUUAGUAAGCUGUUUUAUUUGAAUCAUAAGGUCUAGGCGCGUUUCCCUCCCCCAAAGUUUGUGAUCAGUUUCAUAAUUGUAUAGAUUUGAGUUUGUAUGUUAGCACUAUUGUGGUGUUAUAGUUCAUUGUAGAUACAAUGCUUACAGUUUGGGGACCUAUCUCUAGGCGAAUGGAUUGUGCCUUGAAACAUGGUUGCAUAACAGGUUUGUUGUAGAGAGAGCUAAAUAUCCUUUAAAAAUAAAUGUUGUUUAUGUAAUAAUUUCCACACCACAUCAGCCUUCCCUAGUGAUAAAUAGUAGGCUGAAUAAUGACCACCCAAAUAUAUUAGCUCCUUAUCCCCAGAACUUGUAAAUAUUACCUUAUAAGGAAAAGGAAUAUUUGCAGAUGUGAUUAAAUUAAGGAUCUUGACAUGGGGGGGUUAUAUCUGGGUGGGCGCUAAAUACAAUCACAAGUGUCCUUAUAAGAGAGAGGUGGCCGGGCGCGGUGGCUCACGCCUGUAAUCCCAGCACUUUGGGAGGCCGAGGCGGGUGGAUCACGAGGUCAGGAGAUCGAGACCAUCCUGGCUAACACGGUGAAACCCCGUCUCUACUAAAAAUACAAAAAAUUAGCCGGGCGUGGUAGCGGGCGCCUAUAGUCCCAGCUACUCGGGAGGCUGAGGCAGGAGAAUGGCAUGAACCCGGGAGGUGGAGCUUGCAGUGAGCUGAGAUCGCGCCACUGCACUCCAGCCUGGGCAACAGAGCGAGACUCCGUCUCAAAAAAAAUAAGAAAGAGAGAGAGGCAGAAGGAGACACAGACAAGGUGGAGACAAUGGACAUGGAGGUUAUAUCUGGGUGGGCCCUAAAUACAAUCACAAGUGUCCUUAGAGAGGCAGAGGAAGACACAGACAACAUGGAGACAAUGUAAACACAGAGGCAAAGAGUGGAUAGAUUCUUCCGUAGAACCUCCUGAGGGAGAGCACAGCCUGCUGACCCCUUGAUUUCCACCCAGUGAAGCUAAUAUUGAACUUCAGGCCUCCAGAACUGUGAGAGAAUAAGUUUCUGCUGUUUUAAGCCACUAAGUUUGUCAUCGUUUUUAUGGCAGCAACAAGGGACUAAACAAUGAGGGUAGUCACUUAUCAUACUGCUUAGCUCAUUUUGAGAGAAAAUAUUAUGACUUAGUAAAGACAACAACCAACUAAUAUAACAUGUAUAAUAAUAAUUUCGGCAAACAUGUAUGUAGUCUUUACUAUGUGCCAGGCACUGGUGUAAGCAUUUGAAAUGUAUUUACUCAUUUAUUCUUCAUAGCAACUCCCAUAAUGGGGGUUCUGUUUUAAAUGGGAAGUGCACAGAGAAGUUAGGAAGAAAAGAAAGUGAGUUAUUUUAUUCUAUAGAUGGAAAAACAAAAGCCUAUUUGUUUUAAUCAAGUAAAAUUGUCAAGGAUGACUGGCAGUGCCAUUCACUGAGAAGGAAUAUUAGAAGAAGUGUUUUGGAGGGAAAUCAUGAGUUUCAAUUUUAACAGGUUAAAAUUUAGAUAUUUUGAAAUAUCCAAGUAGAGGUGUUGACAAGAUAAUGGGAUACUUCACUCAGAGGAGAGGUCUGAGCUGAAGAUCUAAAUCUUUGAUGUAUGGAUGGUAAUUGAAGCCAUAGGCAUAGAUGUGAGUGUCUAGAGAGAAAGAACAGCAUAUGAAAAAAUGGGGUUUCAUGGAUGUAUCUUAAGGAGCUCCAAUAUUCAAUGGUUAGGUGGUACGAGACAAGCCUUUGAAGGAGACUGAGAAGGAAUGGUCAGGAGAAUAUGGUUUCAUGAAAGCCAAGGGUAUUUACUGUUUCAAGGAAAAGAAUGGUCAGCAGUGUUGAAUGCUGCUGAGACACCAAAGAAAAUGAGAAUUGAAAAUGUUUAUUACCUUUAGUGACAUUGAAGUCUCUGACCUCAGUGAAAGUAAUUUUAGCAGAGUGGAGAUGGAAUCUGAGUCAUUUUAACAUCCACAGUACCUUUCCGUAGAGUAGAUAUUUGAUAUGAUUUUUCAUUUUCUUUACCAUGAAAUGUAUAAUUAUGCAGAAGAAAGUAUAAUGUAUAUGUAGUAUUUGAAAAAUAAAGUGAACAACAUUUAUCCAUAACCCAACUUAGGAAACAGAACUUUAGAAGACACCCAUAUGCUCCUCCCUGUUUGCAUCUACCUUCUUCAUCUGCCCAGAUAUACCACUCUUAAACUGUUGUAAUAAGUUUUCCCGCCAGGUGCAGUGGCUCACGCCUGUAAUCCCAGCAUUUUGGGAGGCCGAGGCGGGUGGAUCACGAGGUCAAGAGAUCGAGACCAUCCUGGCCAACAUGGUGAACCCCUGUCUCUACUAAAAAUACAAAAAUUACCUGGGCGUGGUGGUGGGUAGCUGUAGUCCCAGCUACUCGGGAGGCUGAGGCAGGAGAAUCUCUUGAACCUGGGAGGUGGAAGUUGCAGUGAGCCGAGAUCGCACCACUGCACUUCAGCCUGGCGACAGGGUGAGACUCCAUCUCAAAAAAAAAAAAAAAAAAAAAAGUGGGCCGGGCGCAGUGGCUCACGCCUGUAAUCCCAGCACUUUGGGAGCCUGAGGUGGGUGGAUCACGAGGUCAGGAGAUCAAGACCAUCCUGGCUAACACAGUGAAACCCCAUGUCUACUAAAAAUAAAAAAAUAAAAAAAAUUUAAAAAGUCGGGCGUGGUGGCAGGCGCCUGUAGUCCCAGAUACUUGGGAGGCUGAGGCAGGAGAAUGGCAUGAACCCAGGAGGCGAGAUCGCGCCACUGCACUCCAGCCUGGGCCACAGAGCAAGAAUCCAUCUCAAAAAAAAGAGUUUUCCCUUGCUUUUCUUUUAUAGUUUUACAACAUAUGAGUGACUUCCUAAACAAUAUACUGUUAUUUUUACAAUAUACUUUUUUAGUUUUAACUGGUUUUGAACUCUGUAUAAAUGGAAUUAUACUGUAUUCAUUCUGAGUCUUGCUUCUUUUGUUCAGCAUUAUCUUUUUGAGAUUUGUCUGUGUUGAUACCUGAGAUUGUAUGUCAUUUUCACUGUUGUAUAGCAUUCCAUUGAAUUAACAUGCCAUAAUGUAUUUUUACAUUCUGCUUUUGAUUGGUAUUUGGGUCAUUUCCAGUUUUUUGGUUUUUUGCUUUAAAAAGCAAUUCCACCGUGAACAUCAUUAUCAUGUCACCUUAUGAAUAUGUGCAAGAGUUUUUCUAAGAUAGGUGUAUAGAUAAGAAUAGAAUUGCUAGGCCAUAUCAUAUGGGUAUGUUCAACUCUAUUGUGAAAUACCAAACUGUUUUCUAAAGUGAUUGAAUCAUUUUUUACUCCUACCCAUUCCAUGUGAACAUAACCAUUGCUCUGUAUCCUCCCCAGUGUUUGAUAUUGUCAGUCUCUAGAAUUGUUGCCAAUUUCAUGAGUAUGAAAUUUUAUCCUAUUGUAGUUUUAAUUUGCAUUUUCUUGAUUAUUAAUAAAGUGAAGUUUUUAAAUGUCUA